ensembl:lncRNA
GUAUAACAUUCUACCUCAGUUACAUGUAAGUAUAACAUUCUACCUCAGUUACAUGUAAGUAUAACAUUCUACCUCAGUUACAUGUAAGUAUAACCUUCUACCUCAGUUACAUGUAAGUAUAACCUUCUAUCUCAGUUACAAGAGCUGAUGAUAAUCUCAUCUGAGAUGUGACAAUAUUGGUGAUGGAUAUACCGGGUUAUGAGAUGUGGGUGGGGUUCCACCUCCAUCCAUAUACUGACGCAAACCUGGGAUCAAAAUCGCUUGUCUUUUUCUUUCAACUAAUCUCUGUAUCUGUAUGUAAUGUACCUGACAGGAAACAAAUACUAUUUGAACCCAGGUCUGUUACACUACAGAGCUGUGGCUCUUAUCUCAUCCACAGCAGGUUUACCAUAUAGGUGGGAAUUGAGUGCUAUUUGGGAUGCAGGCUAUGCUUCUCUGUGCCCUUUCCAUUGCCCCAGGGCGCCACACAGAGAGAAGCUCAUCCUCCAACCGCUAAUGGAACAUGUGACCUUUGACUUUUACACUGUCAGCUGCACUGAGCAAGAGGGUCUGGGCUGGUGAGGAGCCAGGAAGAGGUGGACUAGAGAAUUAGAACCAGAUUCAGAGAGACCAGGAAGUAACAUGAAUUCUGUGUAUCUAUGGAUUUUAAAUGAGGAGGUGUACUGGAGAGCAGGAACCAGAGAGGUGCCAGGGAGAAACAGGCACUGAGCAAGAGGACCUGGUUAGGAGGAGGAGGUGAACUGAGGAAGUGAGACCAGAGAGACCAGGAAGGAACAGUUAUACUGCUGUUCCUGUCUUCCAGUGAGGGAAGAGGUUGCCAUUUGGGAAGCAGACCCGGACAGCAGGCACUUUCAGACUUUCCUUAUUCUGGAUCCAAAAAGAAAGGAGACACCAGAAUGUUUUUGAAGAUAGCGGCAAUUUUGGAAAACAGAGCUACUUCUCAUUCAUCCCCUUUUCUCUGAAAAUGGCACAUGUCAAAGAAACAACGCAGCGGUCCAGCCCAACUGGAAGACUGGUGCAGAAUGCCGUGUCCAAGGGGCUAACUGGCAUAGCCUGCUCAGAUGAGCAGUGACAAUGGAGUUCAGGGACUCGGAGGAACCUUGAGCCAAAGUGGUUAAACAGCAUUGACUUCCCACACCAUAAGGCCAGUGACCAAUAUGCAGAAAAGCGUCCGGAAUGUCCACCUCUGGUUCCCACUCCUGCCUCCCACCUCUGGUUCCCACUCCUGCCUCCCACCCCUGGUUCCCACUCCUGCCUCCCACCCCUGCCUCCCACCCCUGGUUCCCACUCCUGCAUUCCACUCACAGGAGGAAUUUAAUAGGAGCCUGAGACACCUGCAUCUGCCUGUGGGGAAUCUGCUCUAUGAGUGUGUUAAUGCUGAACCGACAAUAACAUCACAGCCAGUAGCAUCCCAGGUAAAAUUGGACGGAAAGGAAUAUUUAUUUAUGGCUGUACCAUUUUCAAUGUAUUUGAAGAUAAUGAGCUCCCAGUGGCUGGAAGAAUGUGGAUACUCUGUGGACCACAGAGGCACUGAUGUCAGUGUUGAAGAGCCAUGGUUAUCAGCAAGCCCUGGUGGAAUACUGAAAUCCAAGGAGUUGUUGAAGAUCAAGUGUCCUGUCAUGGGGUAGAGGCUGUGAUUUUCUGGAUGAUGUCUUCAAUAGGAAAGUGAUGUGAAGGUGAUGGAGGACUACACCUCGACUGCAACCACAUGGGCCACGUGGCUACAACAUGCAGGUACAAAUUGGUCUGUUUCGCACAGGACUGAGAGAAAGUAAGGUGUUCAUCUGGACUGCAUCCCAGCAAGUUGUCAUCCCUGUUCCCUAUGAUACACAGUCCUGUGCAGAGGCUGUCCUGAGGUUGAAGGCAUUCUACUCAACACACAUGCUGACAUUUAUUGUUGAGGAGCAUCAGGCAGAUUGUCACUGAGUGACAAAUAUAUAUAUGCAGCUCUGUAGAAGUAUGUAGUCAGAUGUCUCACCUGUUUGCAGUUACUAUUAAAACCUUGUUUUUCAAUUAAAAAGCCUGACUUAAUGC